GCCUGGACUGCGCGUGCGCGGAAGCUGCCCCGUUCGCCCGCCCCAACGCCGCGGCGGAAGGGUAGGAUGUGUGCUUUCUGCUGCAGUGCGCUGGGAGCUCGGCUACCAUAUCGAAGCACCAUGGACUGGGUGGCCCAAACAACAGAAAUGUGUUUUCCCACAGUGCUAGAGACUAGAUGUCCCAGAUUGAGGUGUUGGCAGGAAGAUCCUAUCAUCUGAGAAACGCAGACCGACACUGGCUCAGGAAGGCUUUGAAGGUCAGAGGCAAACCAACAGCCUUUCAUGAUGCAGCCCCGUUGGACCUCAACUUGACUGAUGAUCUGUCAAACCCAGUAGAGCGCUGUGCGAGGCUGGCUCACAUCCCACUGGACGUAUCACCUAGGGAUGCGCUGGAGAAGCCACUUUCUGGAAGCAGGAGAUGCAUACAGGACCAGCAAUCAGGGCCAGAGGGGGCCCGUGGUUGUAAAAAUGAACACUGAGAUUUUGAGGGGAAAAAAAAAGAAGGGGGGGGACCAGUGCAAGAGAAAAGACCACAGGUGGUGGGGUGUGGAAGAAAGGUGUUUGAAAAGAGAGCACUUAAGGGCAUGAUGAUGUCAGAGAGCUGGGGCAGCAGAAAUAUGCAAGAGGAGUCCCCUGGGAGAAAGGGCUCCCCUCUGCUUGUCACCUUAUGCCACUCACCCUGUGGUCACCUUGUCACUUCCCACCAAACAUGCUGUCUUCUUGUGCUCUA